rnacentral:rRNA from 1 species
AAGCUUGCUUCCGCUGGCGGCGACCGGCGCACGGGUGCGUAACGCGUAUCCAACUUGCCCAUGGCUGGGGGAUAGCCUUGCGAAAGUAAGAUUAAUACCCGGCGGUCUCGGAUGGCCGCAUGACUAUCCGAGUGAAGAUUUAUCGGUAUGAGAUGGCGAUGCGUCCCAUUAGCUUGUUGGUGAGGUAAUGGCUCACCAAGGCAUCGAUGGGUAGGGGUUCUGAGAGGAAGGUCCCCACAAUGGAACUGAGACACGGUCCAUACUCC